CCUCUGGAGCUCAGAAUAGCAGGACUCAGAAAAGAAGGAAACAUAGAGACUUUCAUUAGUUCAGGUGUUUAUCAGAAAUACACUGAGAGGGACUUUAAAAAGAGAUUUAUAUGUAUUGGGUGGUAAACAAAUUUCCAGCAAAAUGAAAAUGAGGUAAGAAUAAAACUUGCCUUGGAGACAGUUUGGCCAAUAGUUUCUGACAGGUUUGUUUGUUUGUUUGUUUUCUCUUCCUGCAUAAUUUGUAGAGAUCCUACAUUGAAAUUAUGCUCUGUCCUACAGGGACCCCUGGCUUGAGCAAGUGCAUGAAAUUCUUAGGAUGCCUGUGCUGAAAGUCUUCUCUUAGUGGACCUUGAUGGGGUUUGGUUUCAUUUGUUCCAGAAUGGAUUGCCCUUGUUGCUGUUGCUGCAGGCUCAUGAUCUGGACUCAGCUCCAGGACUCAAGCAGGGUUGAAGGACACAUGCAAGUGGUAAGAAGCUGGAUCAUCUUUCUUCAUCUGCUCACUGCCUUCACAGAAUUUGCAAGUGUGACAAAGUAUUUCAUCCCUUUACAGGAUUAGGAUGCGGAUUUGCCUCUCCCCGAGGUGCUGCUGGCUGGGUCACUGCCUGCUGGAGGAUGUCUCUAAUACCUGACUUAACCUGAAGCAUGCACUUCCUCAGGAGGUCUGCAGCAGGGCUGGAGGACUGCAAACACUGCAUCCCUUCCCUCCUGGCAGCUGCUGCCACAUGACUGCAGUGCCUGUGCU
rnacentral:lncRNA from 1 species